rnacentral:rRNA from 1 species
UACGAAGGGGGGCUAGCGUUGCUCGGAAUUACUGGGCGUAAAGGGAGCGUAGGUGGACUGUUUAGUCAGAGGUGAAAGCCCAGGGCUCAACCUUGGAAUUGCCUUUGAUACUGGCAGUCUUGAGUACGGAAGAGGUAUGUGGAACUCCGAGUGUAGAGGUGAAAUUCGUAGAUAUUCGGAAGAACACCAGUGGCGAAGGCGACAUACUGGUCCGUUACUGACACUGAGGCUCGAAGGCCCAGGGGAGCAAACGGG